GUGAGUUACCUGUAGUAGUAGUUGAAGCCCGGUGGUGUGAGUUACCUGUAGUAGUAGUUGAAGCCGGUGGUGUGAGUUACCUGUAGUAGUAGUUGAAGCAGGUGGUGUGAGUUACCUGUAGUAGUAGUUGAAGCAGGUGGUGUGAGUUACCUGUAGUAGUAGUUGAAGCCCGGUGGUGUGAGUUACCUGUAGUAGUAGUUGAAGCCGGUGGUGUGAGUUACCUGUAGUAGUAGUUGAAGCAGGUGGUGUGAGUUACCUGUAG